rnacentral:rRNA from 1 species
AACGAUGAUAUCACUGCUUGCAGUGAUUGAUUAGUGGCGAACGGGUGAGUAACACGUGAGGAACUUGCCCAUGAGCGGGGGACAACAUUCGGAAACGGAUGCUAAUACCCCAUAGGUGGAUUGGUCGCAUGACGAAUUCAUUAAAGGUGGCUUUGCUACCACUCAUGGAUAGCCUCGCGGCGUAUUAGCUAGUUGGUAAGGUAAUGGCUUACCAAGGCAGUGAUACGUAGCCGACUUGAGAGGGUGAUCGGCCACACUGGGACUGAGACACGGCCCAGACUCCUACGGGAGGCAGCAGUAGGGAAUCUUCCACAAUGGGUGCAAACCUGAUGGAGCAAUGCCGCGUGAGUGAAGAAGGUCUUCGGAUCGUAAAGCUCUGUUGUUAGAGAAGAACACGUGCUAGGUAACUACUAGCGCCUUGACGGUAUCUAACCAGAAA